CGCGUAGGUGGUUUGAUAAGGGUGUGGUGAAAGCCCGGAGCUCAACUCCGGGUCUGCCGUGCCGACUGUCAAACUCGAGGACUGUAGAGGCAGACGGAAUUCCGGGUGUAGCGGUGGAAUGCGUAGAGAUCCGGAGGAAGACCGGUGGCGAAGGCGGUCUGCUGGGCAGUUUCUGACACUGAGGCGCGACAGCGUGGGGAGCAAACA
rnacentral:rRNA from 1 species